UACCGCUACACAUUGUGGAACUGUGGUUGUGACUGUGUACUUGGGAUAUAUAUCAUUGAAUAAUUUCAAUUAACAGAUGCUGAAUAUGAUUGCCAAAUACCUGAUUCUCCUCUCAAUAGCAUCGCCAUGCUUCUGCCAAAGGCCUUUCUACGCAGGGAAAAGACCAAUUGGGUUCCCUGAAAUUAUAACCGCUGGAAACGCCAACAAUAUCGGAUCAAGCGAAACCAAGCCUAGCCAUGAAAAGCCAAGCUACGAAAGACCAAGUCUCCCACCACAACUGAAGGGUGAUCAAGGGUAUGCCGAUAUACUCAGCCAUCAGACGUUGGAUCACCAGCCGUUUUGGUUCAUAAAUAAGCAGCAGUAUGACGAGUUUAGAAAACAUCCGAAAACUUACCCGCAGAGGCCUAGCUAUUUCAAUGAUCAUAUACCAGUAAAACAUUAUAGUUAAAUCUUUAGAAAGUGUGAUAAUAAUGCUCGUAUCUAACAACUUUCCUUUGUUGUAUUUUGGAGGCUUUAGAAUUCCAGCUCGUUCAUAAGAAAACUGACAAACACAAUGUAGAAGAAUUUUGUUACAACUAUUGUUAUUUUGUUAUAAUAAGUUUCGUUCUGAUGAAAUAAAUAAUCAACAAAAAGUGUACCGAAAUUAAAUUAAUUUAAAUUGUGAAUUUGUAUAGUAAAGGUCCUACCUAGGUGCAUAAUACUUCUUGCAUCUGGAUAAGUAUUUAAGUACACUAAUUAUUUCGAAA